rnacentral:lncRNA from 1 species
UCGUGGCUCCCCAUAGUUCUUAGGAUGAGGCCCCAGCUCCUUAACUUGGCAUUCAAGGCCUCACAUCAUCCUGCUCCUGCCACUCUCUCCAGCCGCCUCCACUCCUCUCCCACCGCCAUGCUCUAAUGCAGGGACAAAGCUGAUUCUGAGCAGAUCUGGCACAAGGAAGUCACCAGAAAACACUAUUGGGUUCCUCAAGGGUAAAGACUGGAUCUUAUCCAUCUUGUUGCCCAUUCCUGCCUCUGCAAUCAUGUGCACUCUGGGAACUUGGAAAAUACAUUGUGGCAUCCAGU